AGCCCGAUGUGGGGCUCAAUCCCAGAACGCUGGGAUCACGCCCUGAGCCGAAGGCAGACGCUUAACGACUGCGCCACCCAGGUGCCCCUGAAGAAGAUUUUAAAAAUGAGCGGAGGCUUGGGACUGGUGGGCAGUAUUCAGGGCAUGUGCGAAACUCAAGUCCCAGGAGGCAGAGAGUGAGGAUAACUGAUAACAGCUAAUAAUUUCUGAUGAGAGGCCAUGUCACGUCUGAGCAUCUCAGCAGACCCAAGGAGGAGUUUUUAAAGGCUCCGGGGAAUUCCACAAUCAGAACUCCGAAUAAAGAAAGGGGCAGAAGGACACGCAGUAUGUGGCAGAACCACGCUGGAAACUGUGCACCUUUUUUGCAGGAACUACGGCAGCCAGAAGAAACAAAACAGCCUCUUCCAAGUGUUUAAAAAAGAAAAUAUCUGCAAACCCAGAACCCAGUAACCAGUGACAAUAGUCUUCAAAGAUGAGAGUGACGGAAAGUCACUCAGAUCAACAAGAGUUCAUCACCAGCAGGAAGGUCUUUGGGUUGGAUUAAAGCAAGCAGGAACUCGGAUGCAUGGGAAGAAAAGAAGAGCCAACAGGAUGAGCAAAGUGGGUAAACAUGAGAAACUACUGUUUUCCUCAGUAAUUUUCUUAAAAGCAAACAAGGAAGCAAAGAAAACCACUGGCUGUGAGACCAGAUGACAGCAGUGCGAGGUGACGUAGAUCUAUUUAUACGUAAGAUACAUCACGCUACGUCCAGACGUGAAACCCACGAGCACAACAGCGGAAAGGAAGUGGGUGCAGUGAGGGGGGAGAAGCAGCACAGGGUCCACCGUCGGGACGUGAGGAGGGGUGCGCAACUGGCCCACAUGGACGUCACUGCCGUAUUACUAGCCCUUGAGCAACUCUCCACCCCAGGAGGUAUGGUGGGGAAACAAAGAGGCCAGUGCAGGAAGUGGAACAGAAUUCUAAAAAUUAACCUCAAGGAAGGCAGGGAAGGACCAGCAGGAAGCAGAAGGGAUGAGCAGAAAGAAAUGAGGUCAAAGACAAGCUCAAUGCGACACCAAACACAAAGGGGCUAGAGCUCCAGUCACCACACAGAUGGUCCCAGUAGAUGAAAGGAAGAUGGGUGGAUGCUGCCCACCAGACGCGUGCUUCAAGCCCUAAAACGGCAGCUCCUGCCCCUCUUCUCCCUGCUCUACUGUCUUCUUAGCACAUAACACAGCCAGCCUACUCGCAGCAGAGCGGAGCUGUAGGUGUGGGUGCGGGUAUAGCCGGAGGUGCAGGUGUGGGUGCGGGUGCAGGUGUGGAUGCAGUAUAGACGCAGAUGCAGGUGCAGAUGUGGGUGCAGGUGCUGGUAUAGCCAGAGGUGCAGAUGUGGGUGCAGGUGCUGGUAUAGCCGGAGGUGCAGAUGUGGGUGCGGGUGUGGGUGCAGUAUAGAUGCAGGUGCAGGUGCAGAUGUGGGUGCAGGUGCUGGUAUAGCCGAAGGUGCAGAUGUGGGUGCAGGUGCUGAUACAGCCGGAGGUGCGGGUGUGGGUGCAGUAUAGACGCAGGUGCAGAUGUGGGUGCAGGUGUGGGUGCAGUACAGACGCAGGUGCAGGUGCAGAUGUGGGUGCAGGUGCUGGUAUAGCCAGAGGUGCGAGUGUGGAUGCGGGUGCAGGUGUGGAUGCAAUAUAGAGGCAGGUGCAGGUGCAGAUAUGGGUGUGGGUGCUGGUAUAGCCAGAGGUGCAGGUGUGGGUGCAGGUAUAAACAGAGGUGCAGUGCAGGUGUGGGUGCUGGUGCAGGUGUGGGUGCAGGUGCUGGUAUAGCCGAAGGUGCAGAUGUGGGUGCAGGUGCUGGUAUAGCCGGAGGUGUGGGUGUGGGUGCAGGUGCUGGUAUAGCCAAAGGUGCAGAUGUGGGUGCAGGUGCUGGUAUAGCCAGAGGUGUGGAUGUGGAUGCAGGUGCUGGUAUAGCCAGAGGUGCGAGUGUGGAUGCGGGUGCAGGUGUGGAUGCAGUAUAGAUGCAGGUGCAGGUGCAGAUAUGGGUGUGGGUGCUGGUAUAGCCGGAGGUGCGGGUGUGGAUGCGGGUGCAGGUGUGGGUGCAGUAUAGAUGCAGGUGCAGGUGCAGAUAUGGGUGUGGGUGCUGGUAUAGCCGGAGGUGCGGGUGUGGGUGCAGGUAUAGACAGAGGUGCAGUGCAGGUGUGGGUGCUGGUGCAGGUGUGGGUGCAGGUGCUUGGCUGUACAUCCUCAUGGCAUGUCUCUAGGACCUGCUGCUGGGCCUGGCCCAGGGCAGGUGCUCAGCAAGCGUGUGACGAAUGCGUCCAAUCCAGUGCGGACAGAAGGCACGGUGUCGCACACCUCAGCACAGACCGUUGGUGUUCCAGACACCAGGUGAUGGGCACUGGCUUCACGGCCAGCGGGUGCCACACUGUGGCCGUGGCAGUCUCUUCCGUCAGAGUCUGCAGAGCAGAGACAACUCCGAGGAGGUUAGACCUAACUGAAUGUUGCUGCCAGUGUGUGCCUGCAGCCUCCUGGAGCCUCGAGGCUGGGACCUGGGCCAGCCCGAGCUUGACGUCAGCCGGGGGAGAGGGCCACCCAGCCCUGCCUGGGGCACCCUCAUGGCUUCGUCCCCGCAGCAGCUGUGCAAGCCCUUUCUGAUACAGGCCGACUUUCCAGCUGGCACCGCCUUCUGGGGAAAUGCGCUGGAUCUCAUCCUUUUCCUGGUGCUAAAGGGUUCUGCCCCAGCCCUCCCCACACGAGCAUGCCCCUCUCUGCGAGGACAGCCCCGGACCGGGAGGCACAAGCUACCUGUCCACCUUCUCCAGGAUGUCCGCGACGUUGGUCAGAGGCUUGCGCAGGUGGUGCCGCAAGUUGUGCUGCAGCAAAGGGAGACACAUGUUCCAUUGCGUGGCGCACACUGUGUGGAUGAGCCCGGGCUCGGCCAGGCGCACGGCUCGCCGCAGCGCCACGUCGAGUCUCUGCACCAUGUUCAGCUGGGUCUGCACGGAACACACAGGCCAGUCUGUGAAGACCGACGGUGCGGCCCGCGUGCCACCUGGGAGCUGGAGGGUCGGAGGCAGCGGGUGGGGCCAGGGCCCCAAGUCCGAGUCUGUCUGUGGCAAUGGCCCCGUUGAUCUUUUCUAGAAGGGACUAGUUGUCUAGAAGAUACUUCCUUAAGGCCUAAAAUGGGCUCUGCACACCCAUGGAUGUGCUUCUCUUCCACGAGUUGAUUCUAUCCAAGUGUACGUAUUUUUCGGGCUUGUAUAUUCACUGUGGCCUGUGGCCAGUUAUUGUUUACAGCCCAAAGAACAUCUCCUCUGUUCUGUGCUCCCUGCGCCCUUCCCACCAGACAGGCUCUGGUCCCACGUUUGAGGAUGUGUGGAACCGGCUUACAGCCCCACGCUUCCUCGGAGCCCCGAAGGAAGGCGCCACGAGCUAAUCCCACGAGUGCCCGCCUCAGCUCCAAAUCAACACCACUCCUCUGUUCCAAUAGAUUUUUUUUCCUUUUAAGCUGCAAAAUUGUCAUUAAAGAGUAGUCUAAAAUAAUCUCUGGGUUCCUUUCCUGGCAGGGGCUGCCGGUCCAAAUCCUACUGCGUUAAAUAAGCAGAUGGGCAAGUGCAGCCAAGCUCACGUCGCCUGUAAUUCUCUGCCACCAUGUUUAGACAGCUGCUGCCACGCCAGCUCAUCAGAAAGACAGCUGCCUCCUCUCUAACUGCAGACGGAACGUGGCAAACAAGUCCAUCGUUUCCAAAUGGAGCAGCUGAGAAGAGCGGCUCCCGUGAGCGUGGUACCCCACCCCCCCAGUGAGGGUCCUCUGGACUUGCCUUCCCUGGGCUCCCCACCUCUUCCCCUGCGCCCCUGGAUUCCUCGCCUCUUCCCCUGCGCCCCUGGGUUCCCCGCCUCUCCCUCCAUGCCCCUGGGGUCCUGCCUCUCCCUACGCACCCCUGGGCUCCCCGCCUCCCCCCAUGCACCCACGGGCUUCCCCCUCCCUCCACCCAUCCCUGGGCCGCCUGCCUCUCCCCACCUAUCCUGGGACCCCUGUAUCCCCAACAACCUCUGAUGACCCUCUUCUGCCCACCCCCGGAUCUCCCCCUUUCCUCCAUCCCUUACAAAAACCUUACCACCUCCCCAGAGCCCCCCAGGUUUCCAGGCCCAGUAAGGCUGAUGGACCCACACUGUGGCAGGGGGUGACUCUGCCUUCCUGGACACGAGUCACAGUGGCAAAGAGCCAUGACAGGCACACAAAGGCCCUGACCAAUGUCCCUGACAGGGCCAGGAUGAGCGCCUUGCUUGGCCGAGGUCGAGGCGGUGGGCAGCAGGAACCUGGGAUUUGUCUUCACAGGGCACACUUCGCUUCUACAAAACUGCUAAGCUUUUCCAAAGGCGCUGUGCCAUUCUGCGUUCCCGCCGGCUGUGGCGAGAGCUGCGGCUUCCCCACAUCCUCUCCCACUACCAUUUGUUUAAAAGACAAAUUUAUCCACUGAAAGCCAUUACGCCUCUGUCAGAAGUCAACUGGCCAUAUGUUUGCGGGUCUGACCCUGGGCUCAUUCCAUCUACGUCACUUCCUUCAGGCCAACGCCACACCGGCUUAACUACUGCGUCUUUACCAUACGUCCCGGAGCGAGGUGGCGUACAUCUUCUGACACUGUUCUGUGUUUCCAGAGUGGCUUCUCGUUCUCUUGGCUCCUUUGCAUUUCCAUACAAGUUUCAUGAUCAGUGUGUCCAUUUCCGAUGCACUCCUACUAGGACUCUGCUCGGGAGCACGCCCAAACCACCAUCCGACCUGCCUUGGUGUUCUCCAGCCUCUGCUGCACCCACCCUGCACGCCCGUCCCACCUCUCCCACCUGGCAGUCCUAUCCAAGUACUACCAGACUGUCGAGGUCCAAGUGAAGUUUUUUUCCUUUUUUAGAACAAUUUCCAGAUCAAUAUAACCACAAAUAUGACUGAUUUCCCUUCUGCUAAACUGCAUGGCUGCCGAACUGCACCAUGAAAGGGGCACUACUCUAGAGCUCCAUUUGGAGGGAAACUUCUGAGAAGCAGCUGAUAUCUAAGACUCACAGGUACUGUGGGACUAAACACAGCAGGUGCUUAACGGAAAGGGCAGGAAGUGAUGCUGAUGCUAAUGGUCCCACUGUCCGAGCGGAUCCUCCCUCCACCUCUCUCGCCCUCACGGGCAGCAGCACCCACAGCAGCACCUGCUGUCCCCAGGCAUUACGUCCCACGGCACCGGCGCCGGCGGCGAAGCGAGCCUCUGCUCGUGCAAGAGCCCCUGCGGCUUCUUGAGUUAUAACACGGACAGCUGAAGCAUGCACUCUGAGAAACUCCUGGCAGGAAUGUCAAUUUUUCUUUGGAGGGCAAUAUUGUAAUAUGCAUUUUAAAAUCUUGAAAGUGGGGCGCCUGAGUGGCGCAGUCAUUAAGCGUCUGCCUUCGGCUCAGGGCGUGAUCCCGGUGUUCUGGGAUCGAGUCCCACAUCA